AACUCAAGUUAAUAGGGCACGGCGUAAAGAGUGUUUAAGAACAUACUUCAAAUAAAGCUAACCUAUAACUAAAUUGUAAAAAAUCCUGGUUACAGUAAAAUACUCUACGAAAGUGGCUUUAAUACACUGAAUACACCAUAGCUAAGGCACAAACUGGGAUUAGAUACCCCACUAUGCUUAGCCCUAAACCUCAAUAACCUAUAUAACAAGAUUAUUCGCCAGAACACUACAAGCAACAGCUUGAAACUCAAAGGACCUGGCGGUGCUUUACAUCCGUCUAGAGGAGCCUGUUCUAUAAUCGAUACACCCCGAUAAACCUCACCACUUCUUGCCCU
rnacentral:rRNA from 1 species